UGAUGCAGCAAUGCCGCGUGAGUGAUGAAGGCCUUCGGGUUGUAAACCUCUUUUUUCAGGGACGAAAAUGACGGUACCUAGAGAAUAAGCAUCGGCUAAUUCCGUGCCAGCAGCCGCGGUAAUACGGAGGAUGCAAGCGUUAUCCGGAAUGAUUGGGCGUAAAGGGUCCGCAGGUGGCAUUGAAAGUCUGGUGUUAAAGAGUCUGGCUCAACCCGAUGUCAAACCCCGGGGCUCGCAGUGGAAAAUGCUUUGCGACUGUAUAGCUAGAGAGCGUUAGGGAGGGAUGGAAUUCCCGGUGUAGCGCUGAAAAAUGUAGAGAUCUGGAAGAACACCGGUGGGGAAAGGGCUCUCCUGGGGCCCAACUGACACUGAGGGGCGAAAACUAGGGGGGAGCAAACGGGAUUAGAUACCCCAGUAGUCCUAGCCCUAAACGAUGCUGGCUAGGCGUUGCUUGUAUAUGUCCCCGAUCAGUGCCGUAGCUAACGCGUAAG
rnacentral:rRNA from 1 species